rnacentral:rRNA from 1 species
CCUACGGGAGGCAGCAGUAAGGAAUAUUGGUCAAUGGACGAAAGUCUGAACCAGCCAUGCCGCGUGAAGGAUGAAGGUCCUCUGGAUUGUAAACUUCUUUUAUCUGGGACGAAAAAAGGGCUUUCUAGCCCACUUGACGGUACCAGAGGAAUAAGCACCGGCUAACUCCGUGCCAGCAGCCGCGGUAAUACGGAGGGUGCAAGCGUUAUCCGGAUUUACUGGGUUUAAAGGGAGCGUAGGUGGGCAGGUAAGUCAGUGGUGAAAUCUCUGGGCUUAACCCGGAAACUGCCAUUGAUACUAUCUGUCUUGAAUAUCCUGGAGGUAAGCGGAAUAUGUCAUGUAGCGGUGAAAUGCUUAGAUAUGACAUAGAACACCCAUUGCGAAGGCAGCUUACUACGGGAUUAUUGACACUGAGGCUCGAAAGCGUGGGGAUCAAACAGGAUUAGAUACCCUGGUAGUCCACGCCCUAAACGAUGGAUACUCGACAUCAGCGAUACACUGUUGUGUCUGNGNGAAGANAUAUAUCCACCNGAGACGACGCGAGUAGAACGACGAAGAAGUAGAGCGNGAGAGAGCGACGACGACGACGAGGGAGGAGG